rnacentral:rRNA from 1 species
GACGAACGCUGGCGGCGUGCUUAACACAUGCAAGUCGAACGGAAAGGCCCCUUUGGGGGUCCUCGAGUGGCGCACGGGUGUGUAACACGUGAGUAACCUGCCCUUGUCUUCGGGAUAACUUCAGGAAAAUGGGGCUAAUACCGGAUAGGAAUCCUUGCUGCAUGGUGGGGGUUGGAAAGCUUCGGCGGUUUUGGAUGGACUCGCGGCUUAUCAGCUUGUUGGUGGGGUAGUGGCUUACCAAGGCUUUGACGGGUAGCCGGCCUGAGAGGGCGACCGGCCACAUUGGGGCUGGGAAACGGCCCAGACUCCUACGGGAGGCAGCAGUGGGGAAUAUUGCACCAUGGGCGGAAGCCGGAUGCAGCAACGCCGCGGGCGGGAGGACGGGCUUCGGGUUGUAAACCGCUUUCAGCAGGGGCGAAGCUUGUGGUGACGGUACCUGCAGAAGAAGCACCGGCUAACUACGUG